rnacentral:rRNA from 1 species
CCUACGGGAGGCAGCAGUGGGGAAUAUUGGACAAUGGGGGCAACUCUGACGCAGCCAUGCCGCGUGAGUGAAGAAGGUUUUCGGAUUGUAAAGCUCUUUCAGAUGUGACGAUGAUGACGGUAGCAUCUAAAGAAGCCCCGGCUAACUUCGUGCCAGCAGCCGCGGUAUUACGAAGGGGGCAAGCGUUGUUCGGAAUUACUGGGCGUAACGGUAAUGUAGGCGGGUUAGUAAGAUAGUGGUGAAAUCCCAGGGCUGAACUUUGGAAUUGCCAUUGGAACUAUCAGACUAGAAUUACAGAGAGGAGAGUGGAAUACCCAGUGUAGCGGUGAAAUGCGUAGAUAUUGGGUAGAAUACCAGUGGCGAAGGCGACUAUCUGGCUGUACAUUGACGCUGAGGCUCGAAAGCAUGGGGAGCAAACAGGAUUAGAUACCCGAGUAGUC